ACUUGUCUUUCAAACUCCACUGCCAGGUGGCAGGUAAUACAAUCGUGCCCGGUGCUCCCGCUUUGCCCGUGACCAUGGCCUGCAUUUCAUAUGUCGAAGCCCUGCCAAACCUGCCAAACCAGGUCAAGCUAUCGUAAAAUACCAGCAGGAUUCUAAAUUUAGAAAAGGAGAAACAGCUUGCAGACCGCACACACAGGGAUGUAAGAUUGAAUGUGCUCAUUUUCAGAUUUCCAAUCAAUUUGUUGAGCAGUGUUACAAGCUUUUCCUUGCACACAUCAGAGAAUCGGCUGAAUCACCAUCCACGUUCCGUGAAGAAGUGGAGAAAUAAAGUGCUGCAAAAUCAUUAAGUACGCACUCAAGUAGGCCUAACUACUGCAAAUGGGUUCAACUCUAUUAGAAGUCAAGUCAAUGCCACCAACAGAGAAUGUCCUCAGAGAGGUUGUCUCACAUCUACCCAGUGUACGUUGCAGGAAUUCUCAUCCACAUAGUGUAUGUCAUGCAUUGCAUCAAAAGUUCAUUCAACACAAGCCAUCUGCAAGAGAAGUCCGCCAAUGUUUCACCAACAGUGUGGCUCCCAUUAUGAACGUAAAUUAAUUAUUUUGUUUCUCACUUGGGCCCAGUUCUAGUUUGAUCACGACAUGACAAAUACCGGAACCACUAGAGACAAGAAUGCAUGUUCAACUCUAUUACAAGUCAAAUCAUUGCUGCAAAGGGAGAAUGUCCACACAGAGGCUGUCUCUUAUCCGCACAUUUCAGAACAUGAAAAGGGAAGAUUCAUAUGCCUGCAGGAACAAAUCGAAAUUCCCGCCCUCGUGAUGAAUUCUCAACCGACUGCACAACGCGAUGGAAAUUAUUCGCCACUGAGGUGAAUGGCAUAAUUGAUUGGGUAUUCAAACAAUCUUGGUACCUAUUCUUCACAC